rnacentral:ncRNA from 1 species
CGGAUCGACGGGUGUUUUGCUGUUUCGCCCGGUAUUGCCAACCGAAGGAGGACGGCGUCAGGAAGGCGAAGGUCCA